rnacentral:tRNA from 1 species
GGGCGGUUAGCUCAGCUGGGAGAGCACCUGCCUUACAAGCAGGGGGUCGGCGGUUCGAGCCCGUCACCGCCCACCA